rnacentral:lncRNA from 1 species
CAUGUCAGGCUACUGUCCAUCACCAUGUUUUUACCAUUUCCUCCAGUUCUCCUAACACGGCCGCCUGUGUCAGGCCACUGUUGACAAACUUUUUCCUUUCCCUUUCACUACUCCUGACACGGGUGGCCGUGUCAGGCCACUAUAUUUCACAUCCUUGGCCUGAUUUUGCACCCUUCUAACAUGGCCCGUGUCAGCUGACACGGGUGGUCGUGUUAGGCUGCCCUUUUGGCCUUUGUUUGGCUUUUUC